rnacentral:rRNA from 1 species
CCUACGGGAGGCAGCAGUGGGGAAUAUUGGGCAAUGGGCGCAAGCCUGACCCAGCAACGCCGCGUGAAGGAAGAAGGCUUUCGGGUUGUAAACUUCUUUUAAGAGGGAAGUGCAGAAGACGGUACCUCUUGAAUAAGCCAUGGCUAACUACGUGCCAGCAGCCGCGGUAAUACGGAGGUGGCAAGCGUUGUCCGGAUUUACUGGGUGGAAAGGGCGUGCAGCCGGGAAGUCAAGACAGAUGUGAAAUCCAGCGGCGCAACCGCGGAACUGCAUUUGAAACUGGUUUUCUUGAGUACCGGAGAGGUCAGCGGAAUUCCUGGUGUAGCGGUGAAAUGCGUAGAUAUAAGGAAGAACACCAGUGGCGAAGGCGGAUGACUGGACGGCAACUGACGGUGAGGCGCGAAAGCGUGGGGAGCAAACAGGAUUAGAUACCCGGGUAGUC